rnacentral:rRNA from 1 species
GCAUAUCAAUAAGCGGAGGAAAAGAAACUAACAAGGAUUCCCCUAGUAACGGCGAGUGAAGCGGGAAGAGCUCAAAUUUGAAAUCUGGUGGCCUCAGGUCAUCCGAGUUGUAAUCUAUAGAAGUGUUUCCCGUGCUGGUUCAUGUACAAGUCCCUUGGAACAGGGCGUCAUAGAGGGUGAGAAUCCCGUCCUUGACAUGAACUACCAGUGAUCUGUGAUACAUUUUCAACGAGUCGAGUUGUUUGGGAAUGCAGCUCAAAAUGGGUGGUAAAUUCCAUCUAAAGCUAAAUAUUGGCGAGAGACCGAUAGCGAACAAGUACCGUGAGGGAAAGAUGAAAAGCACUUUGGAAAGAGAGUUAACCAGUAUGUGAAAUUGUUGAAAGGGAAACGAUUGAAGUCAGUCGUGCUCUUUGGAUUCAGCCGGUUCUGCCGGUGUACUUCCUUUGAGUGGGGUCAACAUCAGUUUUGAUCGCUGGAUAAAGGCAGGAGGAACGUAGUACCCUCGGGUAAACUUAUAGCCUCUUGUCACAUCCAGUGGUUGGGACUGAGGAACGCAGCACCCCUUUAUGCCCGGGAUUCGUCACGUACGUGCUUAGGAUGUUGACAUAAUGGCUUUAAACGACCCGUCCUUGAAACACGGACC